GUUCCAAGAGUCAAUUGCUGGCCAUAUUCAUGAGGAAGAGUACUGUGGAAGUGCAGAAGAAGAAGAUCCCAAGCUAGGAGAGGAGGAGGUUACUGAAGGUGAUUUAAGAGAACUUGAGGAUAUGCUUGCUGGUGUGGUGUCUCAGACAGCCAAAGCGGAAGAAGAAUACAAAGCUGAACAGAACACUCAAAAGCAGGUCCAGCAGGCGCUGAGUGAUUGUGAAAGGAAGGUGUUCUUGAUGGAGGAGACGUUCAAGGCAACGAAAGAAGUGCAUGAUUUGACAAGAUAUCCUUUUCAAGAAUGCAUUGGUUACUGAAAUUAUUCAAUGCUUAAGCAAAAAAUAUAUUUUUCCUCCGGACCAUCGAGAAAAUUUGAAUGCAAAGAAAACUAGGCAUCCGAUAUGGCAAUUAUUUAUUGAUCAUAGGUGAAUGAUUUUAAAGCAGUCCCAAUGCUUAUAAAUGAUUAUGAGAAUAGUCAAAUGCACUUCGUAGGCCGUUUGAAUGUUUCAUCGUUUGAAAACUGCCAUAAUUGAAUGAAACCCUAUCCACAAGGGCUAUUUGUACAAGCUUCUUGGACAGCUUUCUUCCGAAGUGAAUGCCUGUUUUAGUCAUGAAGUCUAGAAUUUAAUUUGCUAUGCUGGAUUUUAAGGUCUAGUAUGUCAUAAAUACCAUAUUUGUGAGCAUGACCUACAUAAGUUUUGCCUUUGACGGGAAACAAGCAGAGUUCAGAAUUGGAACAGAUCUGUGCUACCAUUGGUGAGACGUUGCAGAGCAGAUGCGUGUGUCCCAGUUGUCAUUUUGACAACGUGGACG